rnacentral:rRNA from 1 species
GCUCAUUCCGCCUAUAUACCGCCGUCGUCAGCUUACUCUUUGAGGAACCAGCCGUAAGCGCAACUGGUACAACCUAAAACGCCAGGUCGAGGUGUAGCGAAUGGAAAGGGAAGAAAUGGGCUACAUUCAAUAACAAUAAUGCAUACGAACGAUGUCCUGAAAUAAACAUCUGAAGGAGGAUUUAGUAGUAAGUAGAGAGUAGAGUGCUCUGCUGAAGCCGGCCCUGAAGCGCGUACACACCGCCCGUCACUCUCCCCGAGCUAACCAUAAAAAUUAAUAAUAAGCAAAACUUGCAAAGGGGAGGCAAGUCGUAACAUGGUAAGCGUACCGGAAGGUGCGCUUGGCUAAACCCAAGAGUGAAGAAAACACAAAAAUUAAUCCCCUCACAAACCCUGAGGAAGCAUCUGUGCAAACCAGAUCACUAUUGACCCAGCUUUAGACACCC